rnacentral:misc_RNA from 1 species
UGUGGGAGCUGGCUUGCCUGCGAUAGCGGUCUGUCAGGCACAUUGCUGGUGAAUGUGCCGUCGUCAUCGCAGGCAAGCCAGCUCCCACA